UGAUUCAGCCCUGUAACUUUACUACUUUUGUCAUUUUUCUCAAUGAAAAUAUCUGAUUCGUUUCUCGCUCUAGAAUGUUCUAUGAAGUAGAGUUUCCUUCCUAGUUUUUUUUCUUCAAAUUCUCCACUUAUACGUGAGUUUACAUGGUAUCAAAGCAAAGAUCCUGAGAGAUCUCGUCAUUCUCUAUCGAGCGGUGGUACCCUCGACCUGUUUUGGUGAUCUUUUCGAAGUUGCUCGGAGUUUCCUGCUGUCGCCGGCAACUGUUUUUUCUAACUCGAACUGGGAAGGUGUAAUGACUUCUGCGUGGACUCAAACUUCUGCUUCUGCUCAAGUUCCGAUCAAUCAUCCCAUAUAUCUUCACCCCUCUGACUACCCGUGCUCUCCGGAAAAUUACAACUGAGAUUUCUUGGUUGGUUCGAUUACUUGCUGAUUUUGGUCUUACUCCUUUGACUUUUGUUUCUGUAUUUUGUGAUAAUCAGGCUGUGUUGCACAUUGCCCGAAACCCGAUUUUCCAUGAGCAUACAAGAUUGACUGUCAUUUUGUGCUUGAAAAGUUAGCUGCUGGUCUUAUUUCUUUGCAUCAUACUCCCUCUUCUCUUCAACUUCAACUUGUUGAUUUGCUCACCAAACCUUUGACUGGUGUACAACAUCGUGUUUUGCUUUCCAAGCUGGGGUUAGCUUCCAACUUGAGGGGAAUGUUAGAGAUGAUAGUAUUAGGCCCAAACCACCAUCAAUUUAGUUGGGUCGCCCGUGGCCCAUUUAUUCAUUUUGUUCAUUUUUGUUAUAUACAUACAGUGUAAUGGGUACUUUAGUAUAAGGGAUGAUCCAGCCUUGUAACUUUACUAAUUUUGUCAUUUUUCUCAAUGGAAAUAUCUGAUUCGUUUCUCUC